rnacentral:rRNA from 1 species
CCUUGUGGUCAAACCUUGUGAAAGCCUGAUCUGGACAGAUCUCAGAAGUUAAGCAGGGCCGUGCCUUGUUAGUACUUUAGGUUAGGAUGGGAGAUCACUGGGAAUACCAGGUGCUACAGUCG